GCUCAGAACUCAAAGGAAUUGACGGGGCCCGCACAAGCGGUGGAGUAUGUGGUUUAAUUCGAUGCAACGCGAAGAACCUUACCUGGUCUUGACAUCCCGGAGACCCUUAGGAAACUAGGGGGUGCUUCCAUCUGGAAGAAUCUGGAGACAGGUGCUGCAUGGCUGUCGUCAGCUCGUGUCGUGAGAUGUUGGGUUAAGUCCCGCAACGAGCGCAACCCUUGCCUUUAGUUGCCAGCAGUUCGGCUGGGCACUCUAAAGGGACUGCCGGUGUUAAACCGGAGGAAGGUGGGGAUGACGUCAAGUCCUCAUGGCCUUUAUGACCAGGGCUACACACGUACUACAAUGGCCGAUACAAAGGGCAGCGACACUGCGAGGUGAAGCCAAUCCCGUAAAAUCGGUCUCAGUCCGGAUUGGAGUCUGCAACUCGACUCCAUGAAGUUGGAAUCGCUAGUAAUCGUGGAUCAGCAUGCCACGGUGAAUACGUUCCCGGGCCUU
rnacentral:rRNA from 1 species